UACAGGGGGGGCAAGCGUUGUUCGGAAUUACUGGGCGUAAAGGGCUCGUAGGCGGCCAACUAAGUCCGACGUGAAAUCCCAAGGCUUAACCUUGGAACUGCGUCGGAUACUGGUUGGCUUGAAUUCGGGAGAGGGAUGCAGAAUUCCAGGUGUAGCGGUGAAAUGCGUAGAUAUUGGGAGGAACACCAGUGGCGAAGGCGGCUCACUGGACCGGAACUGACGCUGAGGCGCGAAAGCGUGGGGAGCGAACAGG
rnacentral:rRNA from 1 species